UCAGUGAUCAAGGGUGUACAAGAAUCUCUACUCCUAAUGUCUCAGUUGAUAGUCCGUGUUUCGGGUUUUAUUUUCGUCCCACCUAAUAUGGUCUUUUUGGUACCUACUCCCACCUCGUGCUCAGCCGCAAUGAACAAAAAAAACCCUCCAGCCGAAUCCCCCGCCCGCCCCCACGCGCCUAACCUCCCGAGGAACCCAUCUGUCACGAACGAAAACAAACCGGCGAAAACAAACCGGCGAAGAUUAACCAGCGAAAAAAAUCGCUGACCAAACUCCCGCACGUCCUCGAGCGAGAAACAGUCGCCCGACUCUCUGCCCUCGUUCGCCCGCCACCGCCCUCCAGAUCCCUUCGCCACCGCCCGGCGCCGCCAGCCCCCGACCUCCUCCCCGGCUCCCGGCGCCGCCCGACCCCCAACCUCCCUGGAUCCCGGCCGCCCCGCCCCCACCUCCUCCCUCGCUCCCGUCCGCCCAUGCCGCCUAUCCGCUCCCCUCCCACACACUCCCGACCUCCUCCCGGCGUGCCACCGCCCCUGCUCCUCCCUCCUCCAGGAGGACGCGCCGCCGCCCCUGUUCUUCCUUCCUCCUGUCGGCAUGCGCGCCGCCGCCCCUCUGGCCGUCGCCGGCAUCCCGUUCAAGCCCGUGGAUCCGAGGAAGAUGGAGACGAUGGAUGAUGGGAAGGAGCAGCGGCUGCCUCGUGGUGACCUCGUGGAAGCAGACGGUCGACAAAGACCAUCAUCGAGGCUGCUACUGGUAUGUGUUGUGCAAUCUUCAGAGAUGAAAAAAAGAUAGUACAGAGAGGAGGGAGGAUUGCAAUUCAGACAGAUUGGCUGGAGUUCAGCAGAAGGAUUCACAUCAGUGCAAAUCUCCGGUGGGAGUAAGUUCAGAGGGGGAAAAUGCAUCUGGCCCAACCGCCUCGACCUCAACAAGCCCCGUCAAGAUUCGGCACCGUGGGCUGCACCCCCUCUCUUCCUUCACAACUAGGAGUUGUGGAGGAGCAUUGAUUGGUUGUCUACUCGGAAAGAAAAGAAGAUGAAGUACGUGACCAUCGUAGCUACUGUUGAAGAGACGCUGUGCGGCUGGUUGUGGAUGAGAAUUGUCUAGCCGGCAAUGGAUUUCCAGCAAGGGCGGCAGAGAAAAAUCCAUGACGAGAUGAACACCACCACGACAGCAUCAUGGAUGUGAUCGAGGUACCUCUGUUUCCACAGUCCUACCAGGAAAGUUUUCAGGUUAUCCUGGUUCCAGGUUCAGAUUGUUUAUAGAGUAAUCAUACAUCGAUAGUGUGUGCGCAGUCUGUACAAAAUGGAUAGGCGUAGUUUUUAUUAACCAACUUGUUGCGCAUUAUUGGUUCUAGCUGAAAUAUCUUUUUCCCUGCAUCUUACACCAAGAGAGAUUCAGGGAAGAAGUGAGGUGCAUAAGUAUAACAACAAGGCAGGCAAGAUACCAGGGUGCAGGCUUCAACAUUCAGUCAUUGUGGCCAGCAUGCACUCUUAUUUCAUAAUCUACCUUGCAUGUCUUAUAUUUGAGAGGGAAUUAGAUUUAGCCUGGCCGUUCCACACCCAUCCCGGAUGCUACUAAAUUGUGUAACUACCUAAGUUCUUUUUUGACUGUGCAGAAAUAGCAUUGGCUGCAACGAUGGAGUAUGUUUUACAUGUUUUUUUGUUGAUGAAAAAAGUAUGCGUUUCAUCUUAACCGUACACUCGACGAAAAAUGCUAUUUUGCCAAAGAACGUCUUGUCAGCUAUGGUAUUUAAGCUCAGAGUUACUAACUCAAUGAGGUGUAUUAUAAGUUUGGGGCUACUAUUUUUUUCCAUAUACACAAAUGUAUUUGACACCUCUGAGCAUCUAGAAAUCUUGCAAUUGGUAGAUAGCAUUUGCCUUCCGAAAAUUUUCCUUGAGACCAUGAGAGUCUGAAAAAAAUUUGAUUAAUUAUUAAUGUUGUUAUAUUUAUGCAAGUUGAAUGCUAUUAAAAAUUUCUUAUUUCCCUUAUCGGGAAUGAAUUGUGAUUUAUACUAGCUGUUAGACAAAUAUUGGAACACAGUGUGCAUGAUAGUUCUUUUUAGAAUACGUAAAGAACUUUGUGUCCCGAUGAACUCACAGAAAAAGAGAUUUGAAAUUAUGUCCAAGCCUAAAGAAGGGCCACGUCUAAAAUAGAACACCACACCCCUUUUUAAAAUUACUGACGGGUUGAUGUUGUUGCAUGUCGUGGCGGGGACGGCCGUGUAGCAGCCGUAUCCGCACUGCUUGUGUUGGGCGCCGAUCUGGAGGCCCCUGAUCGGAAGGGACGCCACUGGAGCUGCUGCGGGAGAUGGUAGCGAAUACUGAUGUGGACAUUCAAGCUGCAAUAGUGGAGCUGCAUGUGCUGCUAUAGAUUGGUCCUUGCAGCUUAUGAAGGCAUCAACUAUUGGCGGCACAAAAUUGUGGAGCUUAAGAUUCCCCACCCUUAUUUCUGAAGGAAAGCUAAAGUUCGGGGUGCUAAUCUCCGAGGAUUUUCUCAGUGGAGGGUUUAUUUAACACUAACAAGCCUUUCAAGUUUUUAUAUGGUAAUAUGGUGAUAGGUUGGAAUGUUUGAUCACCCAGGAAUGUGGAUUACUAUCGCAGGAUAUUUUUCCUCUUGAUGGUGCUUCCACUGAAUGUUAUGCACCCCUGUACAGCCAUAUAUCUAAGUUUGCCUGUUCAUUCAGAAAAUUAUAUUGACUAUUCAAUUCAGGGUUCAACCUUUGAAUAACACAGUUCUGGCUCAGUAGUUUGAGAUUCUAUUGUGCAACUGGAUCUUGAUAGACAUCUAGACCUAUAGCUGCGUUUUAUUUUCGUUAUCCCUUUUAGAAACUUACACGCUAACUUGGUGGAUUAAACCGGUGUUCUAAUUAAAUGAUAAAUGAGUAUAAAGAUUUUCUUUUUUUACUGUUAUAUGACAAAAUGAAUGAACAUGUGAUCGCUGUCCAGAUUAGUCAGGCCAUCUUGCAAAUAACUAUGGGAUACAUUACUGAUAUUUUCUUAGGAUGGCCAAAUAGACAUGCAUUCUUUGCUAGGUUAAGUUUUGUUAUUCUUUGUACUUAUUUGCUCAAUCUUUGUAGUGAAAUAGUGCAAGAUGAGGAACUGGCUCAACUUCAGAGUUUCAGUUAAGUGCACAGUUAAAGAAAAAUUGUAACAACUCGGAUGCAGCUCAGAGGUCAAAUAUCAUGAUGCAGAGUAGGCACUAAACCUAAUGUAUCUACUUGAUUUUGUUGUUGCAGAUUAAAUGGCUAUCUUAUCUGUACACAGCUGAUUAGGCAGUAUAGCAGUACCCGCACGUUUAGUAGUUGUUAGAUAGUUUUUGUGCAUAGUUGAACUGUGUAUUGAGAUGGGAAGCCAAGUUGUUUAAUUUGCGGAUUCCAUUUGUCAGACUGGUGGCAUUCCUUAAUUUCUGAUCCCUGGUUAUGAUUUGAUUCUUAUUUAUAUUGUCCUAUGGAAAGAGCAUUAGGAUAGGACAAGCAAACAAGCCUUUCGACAUUCAUGGUGUAUAUUUUGUUUCAUCGAGCCGUGUUGCUUAUGAUUUUGAAUUCGAACGGAUCUGCUUCUGUUCACUAAAGAAAUAAAUGCAUGGAUAGACAAGGUAUGCUCUAAGCUGUUUUCCCUUAGUUUAAAGGAAGGAUUAGUAGUACAUGUAACUGUCUUUUCUUUUCUUGGUAUUCAAACAAGAACAAAUCACUGUUGAUGUUUAAACUCUCUAGAAUCUCAUAAAUGUUAUUAUUCCUCUUAAACUUCUGAUACAAAAUUGGAGUUGUAAAUUAUUUAUUCUGGCACAACCAACUGCUUCUUCUUCUGCCUAGCUUGCUUUCGAUGAAGUAUUCCUGGUGACCUGGUCAAUAGACUGCACUUGCCUAUUCCAAGCACAUACAGGCCUAAGGAUGUCCUGUAAGAAAAGCUUUAACGAAAUCACUUUGGUUUGUAAAUGUCCUUGAGGAUUGAAUUAAUAGAAACUAGCAAUUCUUCUGCCUAAACUGAUUCCUGCAAAUUUUCUUGCCGAACUACUACAUGGUAAUACUCCCUCCAUUCCAUAUUCUAAUGCACAUAGUUUUUUGCCUAGAUUCCGAAAUGUAGUGCGCAUAAGCUGCUUUGGACUAAAGUAGCCCUGGACUGUUCACAGGAACGCAGCAGCAGACACCCACGUGCUGUGACAGAGCGAGCAGCUGGAGGGCAAUUCCUGUCCAAAUGAGAAUGCCAGCUCACGCAUUGGUAUAAACGCUACACACAAAGGCGCAUUAUAAAGUGGAACAGUGGGAGUACUAAAUUCAUAUGUAAUACUAAAUUCCUACAGGUCAUAAAUUAGAUUUUUCGACAAUAAGUACCUAAGUCUAUGUUAUGUUUAAGUUAAAAAACAAUGUCGAUGUGAGACAUACAUACACCGAUUAAUAAAGCGGUUAGUACUUAAAUUGACCGUCAUGUCCUAUGUGCCUUAGGGGUAAGUUUUCAUCUCCACCAUUGACCCGCUUAAGGUGGCUAUACUGAAGCAGACCCCUUAUAAUUAUGAAUGGUUUAUGAAGUUGAAGGAUGAAACUUGAACGAACACAAUGUUGAGGUUUGUAAAGUGAAGCCUAAGACAAGUUUGAGGGGGUAAUAUGGACUUCUCUCAAACUAUAUUACCAGAGAACAAUGAGGGCCUUGAAGACAAUGACAGCGAUGAGUUUCUCCUGGUUCUGUUUUGUUGUAGGCGAAGUUCUUAAUUAUAAUUAUCAAUGCGUUUGUUUUUCUUAAGGAUGCAGUGACAUGCAAGGCGAGGCAAAUUGAAGCCAAAACAGCAGGACGGUCGGAAGUGUGCCAUUUUUUCUAUAUAGGUUAGUGAUUUUAUCCUUUUUGUAUUUUUACAUUGCUAGGUACAGUAGUUUAUAUGAAAUGAUUUGUUAGGGCAGGGGGUGGUUCUUCAAUCUUCAGGGAAUCAAGCGGUAGCACCGGAUGCUGACAUGCAUGGAAGGUAGGAGUGAUGGAGUGUAUGUAUUUGUAGCAAUUCAUCAUCGCCCAUAAAUAAAUCAUCUUUGCCCCGCUUCCUCUGUCCGUCCGUCAACUCAAAUUGCUUUGGUUCACAAGUUCGUUUCAUCGUACAUCUAGGUAUACUAGAACAGAGAGACUACUUUCCUUGAAUGGCUCAUGCGAGUAAACUGACAAUAGUGUUCAUCCAAGAUGCAGUUGUAUAUGUAUCUUCAUAGAGAUGUAGAUGCGUAGGUAGUUCAAUAGUGCACAUGUUCAUCGACAGGGAUGUAGAUGUAGUAUACAACCGAGGUUACAUUGACAAGUUAGUCCAUUAUGCUCCCAGGAAAAAUAAAAUAUGGUAUAUUGUUUCACACUAUCAUCAAUAGUGAAGCUUGUAUUUAAUAUUUCUUCGUUUUGCAAUGCUGAAUAUUUGGGGAACACACAGUGAGGUGUAAUAUGUAGAGUAUAGACUACAGAUUCACCGAAUCAGCUUGAACAUUGUUAUAUCAUGCUUCAUAUUAUUUGGUAAUGAUUUUAAAACAUGGAAUGGGGCAAAUAAAGUUGAAACCUGGUACUGUUCGUCACAGAAAAAACAGUUACUAUCGAGAGGUUUCAUACUGACAUUAUUUCUUACCAACUAAUGGUGCAUUUCUCCGGCCAUGAUUACAUCAGCUAACUACACGCCAUGAUUACAGCAGUAAACAUUGAUAGGAAUACAAGCAUUGGAGUACUCGCCAUGUUCGAGGAAUUCGUAGCUGAUGGCGGCAUCAUCAUGGAGCAGGCACCAUCUUCUCCUCUAUUUAAACUGUAGUACUUCAUGUACUCCCACUUGUAGACUUUCUGAAAUGCAAAUCCACUCCAAGAAUGUGCUCUGAAAUGGAGAAACAUGGAGUAUACUCUAAAAAUCAGUUUGGUGCCUGCCCAGUAGAUCCAUCAAAGUACUCCGGGCAUGAUAAAAAGAAUACUACAACAUGAGUACUACAGCAGAAUCAGUUUGGUUUGAGCCAAGCAAGAGUACUAAAAUCCCCUGAUAAAAAGAAUACUACAACAUGAUAAACAUGAUUUCAGAGAUGUUGAUUUA